UGGGGAAUAUUGCACAAUGGAGGGAACUCUGAUGCAGCGACGCCGCGUGAACGAAGAAGGCUUUCGAGUCGUAAAGUUCUUUUAUAUGGGAAGAUAAUGACGGUACCAUAAGAAGAAGCCCCGGCUAACUACGUGCCAGCAGCCGCGGUAAUACGUAGGGGGCUAGCGUUGUCCGGAAUCACUGGGCGUAAAGGGUUCGCAGGCGGAAAUGCAAGUCAGGUGUAAAAGGCAGUAGCUUAACUACUGUAAGCAUUUGAAACUGCAUAUCCUGAGAAGAGUAGAGGUAAGUGGAAUUUUUAGUGUAGCGGUGAAAUGCGUAGAUAUUAAAAAGAAUACCGGUGGCGAAGGCGACUUACUGGGCUCAUUCUGACGCUGAGGAACGAAAGCGUGGGUAGCAAACAGG
rnacentral:rRNA from 1 species